rnacentral:rRNA from 1 species
UAGGGAAUUUUGCGCAAUGGACGAAAGUCUGACGCAGCAACGCCGCGUGAGGGAUGAAGGUCUUCGGAUUGUAAACUUCUGUUGGAUGGGAAAAAAGGUAGCAAUAUUUGAUGGUACCAUUCGAGUAAGCACCGGCUAACUACGUGCCAGCAGCCGCGGUAAUACGUAGGGUGCAAGCGUUGUUCGGAAUUACUGGGCGUAAAGGGAGUGUAGGCGGGAUCGUAAGUUAGGAGUUUAAUCCACGGGCUCAACUCGUGGUCUGCUUUUAAUACUGCGGUUCUUGAGUAUGGGAGAGGGUGAUGGAAUUCCAGGUGUAGCGGUGGAAUGCGUAGAUAUCUGGAAGAACACCAGUAGCGAAGGCGGUCGCCUGGCCCAAUACUGACGCUGAUACUCGAAAGCUAGGGGAGCAAACA